rnacentral:lncRNA from 1 species
CCUCAUAAAAUUUGCUAAAAGCCUCGUAAAAUAAUAAAGCUUUUAUUGAUUAAAUAUAUCCACUAAACAGUCAAAAACUCUACAGUUUUCCUCAAUAUAUAACUUCACAACUCACAGUCAAAAUUAUAACUCUAAGUACUCUAUCACAGGAACCCUAUCUCUGGAAACUUUUCCUCUCGCUAGAUUGGAUUGUUUUGUAUUCUUGUCAUUUAGCUAGGAAUAGGAUAUAUGUAUACUGAAAAUAAUGAUAAGUGCAAACCUUCAAUACAUGAAACUGAUAAUUUUAUAUUUGUUUUCCUAUUAUAGAUGACUCGACAGCGGACUCCUCAAGAAACAAGUUGAAGCUGGUGGAAACUUUGAUUCAACACAAACGAGUUUGGUUUAUGGUGUUAUUUCUGGUUUUGGUUUUUGGUGUUAUUUUAUUAGGAUUUUAGUUUUUUUUUCUUUAUGAUACUUACACUAGAAUUUUUUUUUAAUUGAUGUUCAAGUUUAAACUGAAUUUAUGAAUCUUUCAUGCUAUGGAAUUAUUAUUUUCAAUAAUUUGUUCUUUCUCAGAUUUUUUUGAUAAAUUGUAUCAAAAGCACAUUGUAAUAUGUCUAAUAAUGGAAGAAUGUUUAUAAAAGUAAUCACUACAAGUUUUACAUCUAAAUUACUAUUUAAUUAAGAGGUAUUUGUGAUGGUUGUUUAAUGAAGAAUAGUGAAAAUACGAGACAAAAUAUAAGUAUCUAACUAAGACUGAUUUGUGAGAAAAUUUAUGAAAAUCAAUCAAAUAGAAAAAUCUCUUCUUUUUUUAACGUCUGAUUAAUUGUGCUAUUACAACGAUGAAAAAUAUUACAUAGACGAUUCUACAGCCGAAAAUUCUACCAUCAUAUGAGAAUGUACGUCUGAUUGCAUCACUCUUAGCCGCCCUAUGAGAUCCGUGUUCCAUG